CAGCAGCCACGGGAAUACGAAGGGGGCUAGCGUUGCUCGGAAUCACUGGGCGUAAAGGGUGCGUAGGCGGGUUUUUAAGUCAGAGGUGAAAUCCUGGAGCUCAACUCCAGAACUGCCUUUGAUACUGAAAGUCUUGAGUUCGGGAGAGGUGAGUGGAACUGCGAGUGUAGAGGUGAAAUUCGUAGAUAUUCGCAAGAACACCAGUGGCGAAGGCGGCUCACUGGCCCGAUACUGACGCUGAGGCACGAAAGCGUGGGGAGCAAACAGGACUAGAUACCCCAGUAGUCCCUGUCUCUUAUAC
rnacentral:rRNA from 1 species